GAAAAAGUACUGCAAGAACUGCUAAUUCAUGCCCCCACACCUAACAGCUGUGGCUUUUUCA
rnacentral:tRNA from 1 species